AGCGAACGCUGGCGGCAGGCUUAACACAUGCAAGUCGAGCGGGUCCUUCGGGGUCAGCGGCGGACGGGUGAGUAACGCGUGGGAACGUGCCUUCUGGUUCGGAAUAACCCUGGGAAACUAGGGCUAAUACCGGAUACGCCCUUUUGGGGAAAGGUUUACUGCCGGAAGAUCGGCCCGCGUCUGAUUAGCUAGUUGGUGGGGUAACGGCCUACCAAGGCGACGAUCAGUAGCUGGUCUGAGAGGAUGAUCAGCCACACUGGGACUGAGACACGGCCCAGACUCCUACGGGAGGCAGCAGUGGGGAAUAUUGGACAAUGGGCGCAAGCCUGAUCCAGCCAUGCCGCGUGAGUGAUGAAGGCCUUAGGGUUGUAAAGCUCUUUUAUCCGGGACGAUAAUGACGGUACCGGAGGAAUAAGCCCCGGCUAACUUCGUGCCAGCCGCCGCCGUAA
rnacentral:rRNA from 1 species